rnacentral:rRNA from 1 species
GUUAAGCAGUAAAUGCGGAGCCGUAGCGAAAGCGUGUCUGAAUAGGGUGUUUAGUAUUUGGUCGUAGACCCGAGACCAGGUGAUCUAUCCUUGGUCAGGUUGACGUUCAGGCAACACUGAAUGGUGUACCGAACCGACUUACGUUGAAACGUGAGCGGAUGAACUGAGGGUAGCGGAGAAAUUCCAAUCGAACCUGGAGAUAGCUGGUUCUCUCCGUAAUAGCUUUAGGGCUCGCCUCAAGCGAUGAUUGU